rnacentral:tRNA from 1 species
GACCGCGUAGCUCAGUUGGCAGAGCAUUGGGCUAGUAUCCAAAGGUCGUAGGUUCGAUUCCCAUCGUGGCCA